rnacentral:tRNA from 1 species
GGGGAUGUAGCUCAGCUGGUAGAGUGCUUGCUUCCCAUGCACAAAGCCUGGGUUCAAUCCCCAGCACCACAA